GAUGAACGCUGGCGGCGUGCCUAAUACAUGCCAGUCGAGCGAACGGACGAGAAGCUUGCUUCUCUGAUGUUAGCGGCGGACGGGUGAGUAACACGUGGAUAACCUACCUAUAAGACUGGGAUAACUUCGGGAAACCGGAGCUAAUACCGGAUGAUAUUUUGAACCGCAUGGUUCAAAAGUGAAAGACGGUCUUGCUGUCACUUAUAGAUGGAUCCGCGCUGCAUUAGCUAGUUGGUAAGGUAACGGCUUACCAAGGCAACGAUGCAUAGCCGACCUGAGAGGGUGGUCGGCCACACUGGAACUGAGACACGGUCCAGACUCCUACGGGAGGCAGCAGUAGGGAAUCUUCCGCAAUGGGCGAAAGCCUGACGGAGCAACGCCGCGUGAGUGAUGAAGGUCUUCGGAUCGUAAAACUCUGUUAUUAGGGAAGAACAUAUGUGUAAGUAACUGUGCACAUCUUGACGGUACCUAAUCAGAAAGCCACGGCUAACUACGUG
rnacentral:rRNA from 1 species